rnacentral:rRNA from 1 species
GUCUCAGUUCGGAUUGCAGGCUGCGACUCGCCUGUAUGAAGUCGGAAUUGCUAGUAAUCGUGGAUCAGCAUGCCACGGUGAAUACGUUCCCGGGCCUUGUACACACCGCCCGUCACACCAUGAGAGCCGGGAACACCCGAAGUCCGUAGUCUAACCUAUAUGGAGGACGCGGCCGAAGGUGGGUUUGGUAAUUGGGGUGAAGUCGUAACAAGGUACC